rnacentral:rRNA from 1 species
AGCGAACGCUGGCGGCAGGCCUAACACAUGCAAGUCGAACGAACUCUUCGGAGUUAGUGGCGGACGGGUGAGUAACACGUGGGAACGUGCCUUUUGGUUCGGAAUAACUCAGGGAAACUUGUGCUAAUACCGAAUGUGCCCUUCGGGGGAAAGAUUUAUCGCCAUUAGAGCGGCCCGCGUCUGAUUAGCUAGUUGGUGAGGUAACGGCUCACCAAGGCGACGAUCAGUAGCUGGUCUGAGAGGAUGACCAGCCACACUGGGACUGAGACACGGCCCAGACUCCUGCGGGAAGCAGCAGUGGGGAAUCUUGCGCAAUGGGCGAAAGCCUGACGCAGCCAUGCCGCGUGAAUGAUGAAGGUCUUAGGAUUGUAAAAUUCUUUCACCGGGGACGAUAAUGACGGUACCCGGAGAAGAAGCCCCGGCUAACUUCGUG